rnacentral:tRNA from 5 species
GCCGCGGUAGCUCAGGUAGUAGAGCGCAGCUCUGAAAAAGCUGAGGGCGCCGGCGCACGUCCGGCCCGCGGCACAA